rnacentral:sRNA from 1 species
GAGAUUGCUGAGCUGGCACAAAAAGGGAGCGAAGAGGGAAGAAAGGGAGAGGAAGGCGAACUUUGGGCGCCUUCGAGGGGAGCGAAUUUGAAUGGCCCCCAGCUCAUCAGCUAGUUUUUGGUUCUGAAAUCCGUUCAGGGGAUUUGCACAGGGGACGAGGAAAAUUAUGAUGAUAAUUCCGAAGAAGGCUUCCACACUAUUCAUUCAGGAAGGCAUGAAUAUGCAUUCAGCUUCGAGCUUCCACAGACUCACCCCAAGCAGGCACAAAAGAGAAGACACUCUGUUGCUGGUUCUGUACCUCAGGCCCAAUAUCCUUAAGUGCCAAAAUUGAAAGGAAGGGCUAUACCCCAGGUGAAUCAAUUCAGAUAUUUGCUGAGAUUGAGAACUGCUCUUCCCGAAUGGUGGUGCCAAAGGCAGCCAUUUACCAAACACAGGCCUUCUAUGCCAAAGGGAAAAUGAAGGAAGUAAAACAGCUUGUGGCUAACUUGCGUGGGGAAUCCUUAUCAUCUGGAAAGACAGAGACGUGGAAU